rnacentral:rRNA from 1 species
AGCGAACGCUGGCGGCAGGCCUAACACAUGCAAGUCGAACGAACUCUUCGGAGUUAGUGGCGGACGGGUGAGUAACACGUGGGAACGUGCCUUUUGGUUCGGAAUAACUCAGGGAAACUUGUGCUAAUACCGAAUGUGCCCUUCGGGGGAAAGAUUUAUCGCCAUUAGAGCAGCCCGCGUCUGAUUAGCUAGUUGGUGAGGUAACGGCUCACCAAGGCGACGAUCAGUAGCUGGUCUGAGAGGAUGACCAGCCACACUGGGACUGAGACACGGCCCAGACUCCUACGGGAGGCAGCAGUGGGGAAUCUUGCGCAAUGGGCGAAAGCCUGACGCAGCCAUGCCGCGUGAAUGAUGAAGGUCUUAGGAUUGUAAAAUUCUUUCACCGGGGACGAUAAUGACGGUACCCGGAGAAGAAGCCCCGGCUAACUUCGUG